rnacentral:misc_RNA from 1 species
UCCUUGAUGAUAUGAAAGGCUCGAGCUUAAAAUAAUAUACGACAGCUAGCUAGAUAUCUAAAUAAACUCCCUCUUCUACGAUAGUGCAGUUGAUUCUUUGAUUCCUCUCAAUAUAAUAAUUAAUAUGCUAAGAUAUGGAUUUGUUAGAUGAGAACAACGAGUGUGGACAAGCACUUCUUACUCUAACUUCCAGAGGCAAUUACAUUCUUUAUGAAUUAUUUUCUUUAAAAGAUGCCGUACCCUCCAUAUACAGCCUCAAUCCAUCCAGGGGAGAGGUCUCACAAUAUGGGCUCUUACUCAAUCUUGAUUUCCAAUAUUUCCAAUCUACAAAGAAAAUGGAGGAUCUCAUCCGUUCCAAUGAAAACCUUUGUGACUUGGAUGACAGUCUGAAAGAUUCGUAUUCAAAAAUACUUACAAGGUUCUAUAAAUUCUUUGAUUCCAUUAUAAGCUAUACACUCGAUUUGAAGAAAUUCAUUUCCGACUGUGGAAAUGGAGUAUAUCUACAAGUUUGCUUGGACUCUUUAAUGACUGAUCCGGAUGGAAAGCAACUCUUGUGUGAAGCUCUUAAUCUUCUAGGAGUCGUUUUACUCCUCACAGAUAAACUCUUUCCAGGACCAAUUAGAGAAAGACUUCUGGUUGCAUAUAAUAGAUAUACAGGAGGGCAUACUGAUCGAAUCGAUGAUGUUUGUAAACUAUUGAGAUCCACCGGAUUUGUUUAUCAAGCAGGGAAAAGGCCUCCCGACUAUCCUGAAUGUUUUUUCAAACGAACAAAUAUUCCAGAGUCCUUCAUAAGAAUUGUUAUUUCUCGAUUACGUUUAGAUGACAUCUAUAAUCAAAUGUCUUCCUUCCCAGAACAUCGUUCUUUAGCAUUGUCAUCUCAGGGCUCUAUGAUGAUUAUUUGCCUAUUUUUUGCACCUCAUAUUUUGAAGGAAGAUAAACUUGCAAUGAGGGAAAUCGUUGAUAAAUUUUUCUUCGAUAGCUGGGUCACAACUUAUUAUAUGGGUAAUAUUAUCAAUUUGGUUCAUUAUUGGGAGCCUUAUCCGGCUGCCAAGUCUGCUCUUUCUAAUACCAUCCAAACGCAUCUUAUUAGAGAAAUAACCAAGAGCAUGUCUGAAUCCUUAAAAAAACUGGUUUCCAAGAGUACGGAGUUACUAAAUGAUGGUGUACUUACGGAAGAAGAACUUAUGGAUAAAUCCGUGCAAAUACUUGAUAUGAUUAGAAAAUGUAACUAUGCACUUCGGUGGAUAAUGCUACAUACUUCACCGUUGCCUUUAAAUCCAACAAAAAAAUCACGUCAGCUCCGUGAUGAUAUCAUGUUGGAAUUUGAGGGUAAAAAAUACGAUACAUUUAUCUUACUUCUAAAUACAGCCUCCUUGGAAUUAAAAAUUCGUCGUAUACAUCAAGAUUUAAUUUCUAAGAGAGAGGAAAAAUGGACUUUUUGCCAAAAUGAGUGUGAAAGUCGAAUGUUAGAACUUUCAAAAGUUUUUGCAGGAGAAUUAAAAUUGAGCCGUGUUAGCAAAAACACAAACUUGGAGAAAUGGUUUUAUAAUCGAAAAAAGGAAAUUUCUAAUUUAAAUUUGGAGGAUCCACUGAAGUCUGGAAGAAUAGCAAUGAAAUUGAUUCGAGCUCUUAAAGAAUCUACUGAACUAGGGCAAAUGGAUUCCAAUUUACAGGUAAAACAAUAUGUUAUGGACUCCAUUGAAUAUUUAACCCAAAUUGUUCGCUAUGCUGGUGUGAAAGAGGAAUUUCUUGUUUUAUUGCAAGUUAUAUCUGAUUUUCAGUAUGGAUGGGAAAUUAUAGAUCACUUUACACCACUUAUUCAAGAAGAAGUUAUAAAUGAUCCCUCAAUUGUAAAACGUUUACAAGCAAUUUUUAUAAAGAUUUCUUCUGUAAUUGAGACUCCCAUUCUUCGUAUAAGCCAAAUUGAAAGCAAACAAUUAACCCUUGUCUCAAAUUACUAUUCAGUAGAAAUCGUACAAUUUAUUCAAAAUGUGCUACAAAUAAUUCCAAAAUCUAUUUUUGAACUUUUAAUAAAAGUUUUGGAGAUACAAUCUGUCCAAGAGUUUGAUAUGCCCUCAAGAUUGGAUAAAGAUCAAAUCAAAUCUUAUGCUCUAUUAGAUGAAAGAUAUGAAAUAGCCAAAUUAACUCAUGAUAUAUCCACAUUUGCUGAUGGAAUGAUGACGAUGAAUAAUUCCUUAAUUGGGGUCAUUCGAAUUAACGCAAAGAAUCUACUAAUAGAAGGAAUGAGAAAAGAAUUGGUUCAAAGGGUUUGCUUCUUUUGUAAUAAACUCUUCUCCAGCUGUAAUAAGUCCAAAUCGCUCAAUUUUCGAUUGAUUGAUAAGAUACAGGAACUUAAAACUUUUAUGCAGGGUAUGAGUAAGUCGUUUGAAUAUGUACAAGAUUACAUUAAUAUCCCGGGAUUGUGUAUAUGGCAAGAAGAAAUGUCACGUAUCAUAAAUUUCUAUGUUGAGCAAGAGUCAAAUUUAUUUUUGAAGCAUAAAGUUCCCCAAGUAGAGAGUGCUUACCAAAGUAAAACAAUACCAAUCAUCCUAUAUCCUUCAUUGGAGGAUGGAAAAGGAUUAACAUUUGUAGGGUAUUUAGCUCAAGAACUUCUAAAUCUAAUUGAUCCAUUUCAGAUCGUUUUUGUGAAUGGAAAACAAAAAUGGUAUGAUGUAAAGUCGAAGACGGAUAUUUGUUCCCUGUCUUUAUUUUCAUCACUUUUUUCUGCUUUGGGAAGCUAUGGAAUGGCAGGUUUAGAUAGACUAAUUGGACUUAAAGCCGUGGUAUGUUUGCAAAACUUGAUUAGUCACCUUAUCAAAAAUAAUCCUUGCUCCAAAGAGUGGUCACUUUUAUUAAAACAAUUCGAUGAACUUAAUCAUAUGCACAAAUCACAUGACUUUAUUCGGCUAAGCAAAACUCUUUUAACUUCAAAGGCCUCAAAAUCCUUAUUAUCGACUUUUUUGCAUUUUUUUUGCAAUAUGGGAUCCUUUCAGAUCUUGAGACUUCAAAUUUCAUAUCAACUAAAGCUGAAAUGUAAUUUUAACUCAAAACCAUUAUAUUCUGCUGUCAAAAAUUUGAAUGAAUCAUUAUUGGAAGAAGAAAAAAGACGGAUGAUCGAAGAAGCGUCAUCAAGUGUGAAAAGCAAAUUGCCUUCUCAAAGCAAUUUGCUUCAGCAAUUUAGUCAUUAUCUUCAGUGGUCAGGUCUUUUAGAUCCUUUAAAAGCUAUUUACAUUAUACCUGAUCAAAUCAAUUUAUUACCCGAGUUUAUUUUCCUACUCAUCAUUUCGGUUUCAUCAAGACUCUCAUUUAUCGAUAGAGUUGGUAUUGUUUUUUUUAGGAAAUUCUCCAAUCAUUCGUAAACCAGGGGAUCACAUUGACGGAAAUACCCUUGUUUUGGGGAUUUCAUGCUUUUUAAAUCAAUUUCCAAUUGAAUUGAGCAGAAAGGUUUUUCUAUACCUCGGAAACUAUCUUACAUCUGUCAUAUCAAUCACAGGACAAGUAAACCAGGAUGCUCUCACUAUCAAAGUCGUACUACAAUUACUCAUUCACCAAUCAAGACUUGCAAAUAAGAUUAUGAUUACCCCAGCGGCACUUACAGAGCAUUGUCUUUUUAAAUUAUAGAUUUUUAUGAAUCAUCGAUAAUAAAAAGUUUAUUUCAUUAA